GAGUUUGAUCCUGGCUCAGGAUAAACGCUGGCGGCGCACAUAAGACAUGCAAGUCGAACGAACUUAAUAUCUUGCUUGCAAGGUAAGCGGUUAGUGGCGGACUGGUGAGUAACACGUAAGAAAUCUGCCUAUCAGAGGGGAAUAACAGUGAGAAAUCACUGCUAAUACCGCAUAUGCCAUAAACAUCGCAUGAUGUUAGUGGGAAAGAAGCAAUUCGCUGAUAGAUGAGCUUGCGGCUGAUUAGCUAGUUGGUGGGGUAAAGGCCUACCAAGGCGACGAUCAGUAGCCGGACUGAGAGGUUGAACGGCCACAUUGGGACUGAGAUACGGCCCAGACUCCUACGGGAGGCAGCAGUCGGGAAUAUUGCGCAAUGGAGGCAACUCUGACGCAGUGACGCCGCGUAUAGGAAGAAGGUUUUCGGAUUGUAAACUAUUGUCCACAGGGAAGAAAAAGACUGUACCUGUGAAGAAAGCUCCGGCUAACUACGUGCCAGCAGCCGCGGUAAUACGUAGGGAGCAAGCGUUAUCCGGAUUUAUUGGGUGUAAAGGGUGCGUAGACGGGAUAACAAGUUAGUUGUGAAAACCCUCGGCUCAACUGAGGAACUGCAACUAAAACUAUUAUUCUUGAGUGCAGGAGGGGAAAGUGGAAUUCCUAGUGUAGCGGUGAAAUGCGUAGAUAUUAGGAAGAACACCAGUGGCGAAGGCGACUUUCUGGACUGUAACUG
rnacentral:rRNA from 1 species